rnacentral:rRNA from 1 species
UAUUAAAGCGGUACGUGAGCUGGGUUUAGAACGUCGCGAGACAGUUCGGUCCCUAUCUGAUGUGGGCGGAGGAGAUUUGAGGAGGGCUGUCCUUAGUACGAGAGGACCGGGAUGGACGAACCUCUAGUGUACCAGUUGUCCCGCCAGGGGCACCGCUGGGUAGCUACGUUCGGUAGUGAUAAACGCUGAAAGCAUAUAAGCGUGAAGCACGCUCCAAGAUGAGAUCUCCCGUGCGCAAGCACCUGAAGACCCCUGGAAGACCACCAGGUUGAUAGGCUGGGUGUGUAAGACGUAAGUCUGAGCUAACCAGUACUAAUCGGUCGUGAGGCUUGACCAUA